AUGAAUUUUCUUUGGUUGUGAUGUUGAACAUGGUUGAUGGAUUUGUCAUGUUUGUAGUGUUGGGUGAAAACUCUUGGUAAAGGGCUAUUAUGAAUUAUUUGUUAGGAAGUAGAGAGAAUUUGAGAUUGUUAGAGUUGAAAUUGUGAUUUUGCAAAGGAGAGAAAAAUUAAGAAAGAAUGUGGAAUUGUUCUAUUUUGUGGAGGAGUUUGGAGUGGAGAUUGUGUUUUGGAAAAGAGAAUUUAGAGAGGAGUUGAAAUUUAGAGAUGGAAAUGUGAGUGGA
rnacentral:lncRNA from 1 species